CGUAGGGACCAAGCGUUGUUCGGAUUUACUGGGCGUAAAGGGCGCGUAGGCGGCAAUUCAAGUCAUCUGUGAAAUCUCCGGGCUUAACUCGGAACGGUCAGAUGAUACUGCUUUGCUAGAGUGCGGAAGGGGCAAUCGGAAUUCUUGGUGUAGCGGUGAAAUGCGUAGAUAUCAAGAGGAACACCUGAGGUGAAGACGGGUUGCUGGGCCGACACUGACGCUGAUAGCGCGAAAGCCAGGGGAGCAAACGGGAUUAGAUACCCCGGUAGUCCUGGCCCUAAACGAUGAAUACUUGGUGUCUGGAGUUAUUAGUGCUCCGGGUGCCGUCGCUAACGUUUUUAGUAUUCCGCCUGGGGAGUACGCUCGCAAGAGUG
rnacentral:rRNA from 1 species